rnacentral:rRNA from 1 species
CAGUCGCCGCGGUAAUACGUAGGUGGCAAGCGUAGUCCGGAAUUAUUGGGCGUAAAGGGUUCGCAGGCGGUUUCUUAAGUCUGAUGUGAGAGCCCCCGGCUCAACCGGGGAGGGUCAUUGGAAACUGGGAAACUUGAGUGCAGAAGAGGAGAGUGGAAUUCCACGUGUAGCGGUGAAAUGCGUAGAGAUGUGGAGGAACACCAGUGGCGAAGGCGACUCUCUGGUCUGUAACUGACGCUGAGGAGCGAAAGCGUGGGGAGCGAACAGGAUUAGAGACCCCCGUAGUCCCUGUCUCUUAUAC